rnacentral:rRNA from 1 species
UACGAAGGGGGCUAGCGUUGUUCGGAAUUACUGGGCGUAAAGCGCACGUAGGCGGCUAUUCAAGUCAGAGGUGAAAGCCCGGGGCUCAACUCCGGAAUUGCCUUUGAAACUAGAUAGCUUGAACAUCGGAGAGGCUAGUGGAAUUCCGAGUGUAGAGGUGAAAUUCGUAGAUAUUCGGAAGAACACCAGUGGCGAAGGCGACUGGCUGGACGAUUGUUGACGCUGAGGUGCGAAAGCGUGGGGAGCAAACAGG